rnacentral:rRNA from 1 species
AGAGUUUGAUCAUGGCUCAGAUUGAACGCUGGCGGCAGGCCUAACACAUGCAAGUCGAGCGGUAGAGAGAAGCUUGCUUCUCUUGAGAGCGGCGGACGGGUGAGUAAUACCUAGGAAUCUGCCUGAUAGUGGGGGAUAACGUUCGGAAACGGACGCUAAUACCGCAUACGUCCUACGGGAGAAAGCAGGGGACCUUCGGGCCUUGCGCUAUCAGAUGAGCCUAGGUCGGAUUAGCUAGUUGGUGAGGUAAUGGCUCACCAAGGCUACGAUCCGUAACUGGUCUGAGAGGAUGAUCAGUCACACUGGAACUGAGACACGGUCCAGACUCCUACGGGAGGCAGCAGUGGGGAAUAUUGGACAAUGGGCGAAAGCCUGAUCCAGCCAUGCCGCGUGUGUGAAGAAGGUCUUCGGAUUGUAAAGCACUUUAAGUUGGGAGGAAGGGCAUUAACCUAAUACGUUAGUGUUUUGACGUUACCGACAGAAUAAGCACCGGCUAACUCUGUGCCAGCAGCCGCGGUAAUACAGAGGGUGCAAGCGUUAAUCGGAAUUACUGGGCGUAAAGCGCGCGUAGGUGGUUUGUUAAGUUGAAUGUGAAAUCCCCGGGCUCAACCUGGGAACUGCAUCCAAAACUGGCAAGCUAGAGUAUGGUAGAGGGUAGUGGAAUUUCCUGUGUAGCGGUGAAAUGCGUAGAUAUAGGAAGGAACACCAGUGGCGAAGGCGACUACCUGGACUGAUACUGACACUGAGGUGCGAAAGCGUGGGGAGCAAACAGGAUUAGAUACCCUGGUAGUCCAA